GAUGAACGCUGGCGGCGUGCCUAAUACAUGCAAGUCGAGCGAACAGACGAGGAGCUUGCUCCUCUGACGUUAGCGGCGGACGGGUGAGUAACACGUGGAUAACCUACCUAUAAGACUGGGAUAACUUCGGGAAACCGGAGCUAAUACCGGAUAAUAUAUUGAACCGCAUGGUUCAAUAGUUAAAUACGGUUUUGCUGUCACUUAUAGAUGGAUCCGCGCCGCAUUAGCUAGUUGGUAAGGUAACGGCUUACCAAGGCAACGAUGCGUAGCCGACCUGAGAGGGUGAUCGGCCACACUGGAACUGAGACACGGUCCAGACUCCUACGGGAGGCAGCAGUAGGGAAUCUUCCGCAAUGGGCGAAAGCCUGACGGAGCAACGCCGCGUGAGUGAUGAAGGUCUUCGGAUCGUAAAACUCUGUUAUUAGGGAAGAACAAAUGUGUAAGUAACUAUGCACGUAUUGACGGUACCUAAUCAGAAAGCCACGGCUAACUACGUG
rnacentral:rRNA from 1 species